rnacentral:rRNA from 1 species
GGGGACGACGUCAAGUCAUCAUGGCCCUUACGAGUAGGGCUACACACGUGCUACAAUGGCGCAUACAGAGGGCGGCCAACUUGCGAAAGUGAGCGAAUCCCAAAAAGUGCGUCGUAGUCCGGAUUGGAGUCUGCAACUCGACUCCAUGAAGUCGGAAUCGCUAGUAAUCGUGGAUCAGAAUGCCACGGUGAAUACGUUCCCGGGCCUUGUACACACCGCCCGUCACACCAUGGGAGUGGGCUGCAAAAGAAGUAGGUAGUUUAACCUUCGGGGGGA